ACCGCUAACCUUAUGCCUAACCUUAUAUUAAAACCAAAAAUCAAAUGUUUGUUUUGAUGAAUGUUUAAUAGAGCCAAUUUGGACUUUGUGGCUGACUAGUGGGAAUCUUGUUCUCAUAUCUGGUUAAUAUAAUGGAUCAUCUGCGGUCAAACACGGAUGUUUAAAAAUGACCUGCUGUCGCCACCCGGAGGCAACAGAGGGGAGGACAGCCACUUACAACUUCUCUCAUGAAUUAGUCCGUUUUGACAUACCUUAUCAUUGCCUUGAUAUAUGUUUAUGCUAGUUGUAUUUAGACACAUUAUGGUGUUUCUACUCAAACGUCCUGCUGAAGUAAUGAAGUUAGCUGGCUAGAUUACAACAUCCAAGUUAACGAGAGCCAUUCGAGUGAGUGAGUAAGUUUGGAGGACCUUCGGUUUGGAAACUGCUCCUACAGUACAUACCUGCGCCAAAUUCUGAUCAGAAACCAGUACUGAUCCAUGUGUGUGGAGUGAACCCAAUGGAGACCAACACCUGCUCUGGGACCUACACCAGGAAGCCCAGCCUGCCCUACACUUCAGGAACUGAUGUGUCCGGGGUUGUGGAGGCUGUUGGAGAUGGGGUCCAAUUUACAGGCUGGUGACCGUGUGUUUGCCACGGCCACAGAGACUGGAAGGUAUGCAGAAUACACCGUUGUGUCUGAUGACCUUGUCUCCCGGCUGCCAGACUUCUUAGACUACAAACAGGGAGCUUCCAUUGGGAUCCCUUACUUCACAGCAUACAGAGCUCUCUCCCAUAAAGCACAUGCUAAAGCAGGUGAGACCGUACUCAUCCAUGGAGCCAGCGGCGGGGUGGGGGUGUGCAGCGUGUCAGGUGGCCUUGGGUCUGAGGGUCCUGGGGACAACAGGGACCCCAAAAGGACUGAAGCUUGCCCUGAAGAACGGAGCUCACAUAGAAUGCUCUUUCCAUGACAUAGACUGACCACAUGAAUCCAGUUUCCAGUGUGUUUCAAGAAUGGUCCACCACCCAUGAAGCCACUGGUGACUUUAACAGAGUUACCGAGUUUAAUGGCUGUGAUUGGGAAAAACUGAGGAUGGAUGAACAACAUUGUAGUUAUUCCCCAAUACUAA